AUUGAACGCUGGCGGCAGGCCUAACACAUGCAAGUCGAACGAGUGGCGGACGGGUGAGUAAUGUCUGGGAAACUGCCUGAUGGAGGGGGAUAACUACUGGAAACGGUAGCUAAUACCGCAUACCAUCGGAUGUGCCCAGAUGGGAUUAGCUUGGUGGUGGGGUAACGGUUCACCAAGGCGACGAUCCCUAGCUGGUUUGAGAGGAUGACCGGCAACACUGGAACUGAGACACGGUACAGACUCCUACGGGAGGCAGCAGUGGGGAAGCUGGGACAAUGGGAGGAAGCCUGAUGCAGCCAUGCCGAGUGUAUGAAGAAGGUCUUCGGGUUGUAAAGUACUUUCAGCGGGGAGGCGUUACCCGCAGAAGAAGCACCGGCUAACUCCGUGCCAGCAGCCGCGGUAAUAC
rnacentral:rRNA from 1 species